CAAUCCUAACCUCUUUGUCUUUGUGUGUCUUGUCAGUUUGUCUUUUUGCGACGUUUGUUUCUCGCGUUAUUACUAUAUCAGAGUUUUUAGACAUAAAGUAUUCAUAUUGAAGUUAGUUUUUGUCAAUUUUCAAUUUCUUUGUUCAUAGUUAAUUCCAUAGUGUUCGAUUUUAGAAGACUAACUGCAACAAAAGUGCUUGUGAGCCAACGAAACAUAAAGUAGAACCUCGAUAGUUCGACACUCCCUGUAGUUCGACACAGGCCGUGAUGACAAGACCUCAGUCAUACCUGGUCAUCAGUGGCCGAUGACGGGUUCACCAAGGUUAAAAACUAGAGCAUUCUUAGUGUUUUCGUGCAUGGAAAAACUCAAUAGGAAAAGAGGAGUUAUUGGUGCACAGAAUAGGAACAUCAGGCUGAGGUUAUGCGACAGUAAAUAAUGUAUAAGUAAAAUGUCACUUAAUUUAACUCAUGUUCUAAUUUUCAAGUUUGUUUUAUACUUUAUAUUUUCAUAAAAUAAAUUUACUAUAACCAA